rnacentral:rRNA from 1 species
AAAUUGAAGAGUUUGAUCAUGGCUCAGAUUGAACGCUGGCGGCAGGCCUAACACAUGCAAGUCGAACGGUAACAGGAAGCAGCUUGCUGCUUCGCUGACGAGUGGCGGACGGGUGAGUAAUGUCUGGGAAACUGCCUGAUGGAGGGGGAUAACUACUGGAAACGGUGGCUAAUACCGCAUAACGUCGCAAGACCAAAGAGGGGGACCUUCGGGCCUCUUGCCAUCAGAUGUGCCCAGAUGGGAUUAGCUAGUUGGUGAGGUAACGGCUCACCAAGGCGACGAUCCCUAGCUGGUCUGAGAGGAUGACCAGCCACA